rnacentral:rRNA from 1 species
GACGAACGCUGGCGGCGUGCUUAACACAUGCAAGUCGAACGGAAAGACCUCUUUCGGGGUGUACUCGCGUGGCGAACGGGUGAGUAACACGUGAGUAACCUGCCCUUCUCUUUGGGUUAACUUCAGGCAACUGGGGCUAGUACCUACUAGGAGCUCCUGUUGCCUGGUUGGGGCUGGAGAGUUUCGGCGGUUGGGGGUGGACUCGCGGCGUAUCAGCGUGUUAUUGGGUUGUUGGCUUACCAACGUGUUGACGGGUAGCCGGACUGUGAGGGUGACAGGCGACACAGGGACCGAGAGGCGGCACAGACAGCUAAGGGAGGCAGAAGUGGGGAAGAUUGAACAAUGGGUGGAAGCCUGAUGCAGCAAGGCCUUGUGCGGGAUGACGGUCUUCGGGUUGUAAAACGAAUUCGCACAUGACGAAGCUUUGUGUGACGGUAGUGGGUAAAGAAGCACCGGCUAACUACGUG